rnacentral:rRNA from 1 species
UACGAAGGGGGCUAGCGUUGCUCGGAAUCACUGGGCGUAAAGGGCGCGUAGCCGGCCUUGCCAAGUCGGGGUUGAAAGCCCGUGGCUCAACCACGGAAUGGCUUCGAUACUGGCAGGUCUUGAGACCGGUAAGAGGACAGCGGAAUCUGCGAGUGCUAGAGGUGAAAUUCGUCAGAUAUUCGCAAGAACACCAGUGGCGAAGGCGGCUGUCUGGCUCCGGUUCUGACGCUGAGGCGCGAAAGCGUGGGGA